UACGUAGGGUGCGAGCGUUGUCCGGAAUUAUUGGGCGUAAAGAGCUCGUAGGCGGUCUGUCGCGUCGAAUGUGAAAACCCGGGGCUCAACUCCGGGCUUGCAUUCGAUACGGGCAGGCUAGAGUUCGGUAGGGGAGUCUGGAAUUCCUGGUGUAGCGGUGAAAUGCGCAGAUAUCAGGAGGAACACCGGUGGCGAAGGCGGGUCUCUGGGCCGUAACUGACGCUGAGGAGCGAAAGCGUGGGGAGCGAACAGG
rnacentral:rRNA from 1 species